GCAUAUCAAUAAGCGGAGGAAAAGAAACCAACAGGGAUUGCCCUAGUAACGGCGAGUGAAGCGGCAACAGCUCAAAUUUGAAAUCUGGCUUCGGCCCGAGUUGUAAUUUGCAGAGGAAGCUUUAGGCGCGGCACCUCCUGAGUCCCCUGGAACGGGGCGCCACAGAGGGUGAGAGCCCCGUAUAGUUGGAUGCCUAGCCUGUGUAAAGCUCCUUCGACGAGUCGAGUAGUUUGGGAAUGCUGCUCAAAAUGGGAGGUAAAUUUCUUCUAAAGCUAAAUACCGGCCAGAGACCGAUAGCGCACAAGUAGAGUGAUCGAAAGAUGAAAAGCACUUUGAAAAGAGGGUUAAAUAGCACGUGAAAUUGUUGAAAGGGAAGCGCUUGUGACCAGACUUGCGCCGGGCUGAUCAUCCGGUGUUCUCACCGGUGCACUCUGCCCGGCUCAGGCCAGCAUCGGUCCUCGCGGGGGGAUAAAGGCCCUGGGAACGUAGCUCCUCCGGGAGUGUUAUAGCCCGGGGCGCAAUGCCCUCGCGGGGACCGAGGUUCGCGCUCUGCAAGGAUG
rnacentral:rRNA from 1 species